UUUCCCUCCUUUGUCGUCCAUUUUUGGUAGCAAAGGUCAGAGUUAAAAUCUCGUAGUUUGUUCUUUAUGUUCUCUUUUAAUGAUAAUGAGGUGAUUUAGCUGUUUUUAAAGCUUUUUUUUAAAUUAGAAGACGACCAAAAAUCAACCAAACUAAAAGUCCUUCAGAUGGAUCUGCUGUCCUGCUGUUACUCAUAAAUUCCACCACAAAAUGUCUGUGAACUCCCUCAGCCCCUCAUCCACCUCAAAACAGUCAUAAUGUUCAGGAACAGCCGAACACAGGUCUGUCUUUUAUUAGACAAAUAUUUUAAUGAAGUUUUGAAAAAAUCCCUAAAGAUUAAAAGGCUUCAGUUACUUUGACUCAGUCAGAGACAAUCAGACAUUUUUACACUGAAAAAUCUACAAGUACAAAUAUAUUUAAGUGCAUUUAAAAGGAAAUUUACUGUGAUUGUUUUAUAUAAGUAAGUAAAGUUAAUUAUAGAGCACUUUUUACAGACAAAAUCACAAAGCACUGUACAUAAAAUACGUGCAGUUAGAUAAACAUAAAACGGAACAAAAAAGAUCAGUACACAUUCAAACACAAAUAUGAAAACAGCACAGUGAGAUUGGAAAUGAGUGCAGAUAUGAAAGACUGAAUCAAUCAAAUGGAGGGGGAGGGGCAGAUCGUUCCACAGUCUGGGGGCUACGGUCUUAAAAGUCCGCUCUCCCUGAGUUUCAAAACGGGACUUUUGCACCAUAAUGGUAUUCUGGCCCGACGACUGAAGGGGGCGCUCUGGGAAGUAGGGGCACAACAAAUCAGUGAUAGAUUAGGGGGCCUGACCAUGCAGCGCCCGGAAAGUCAGAACUAAAAGAAAAAGAAAAAAAAAAAAUAAUAAUACAGUUUUACGGUCACCUUACCACUUCAAUUUGCCUGUUUUGGUUCCAGGUUUUCAUGGAAUAGAGAAGGAUUCCACCUUUGGUCCCAGAAUUCUACCUUUGAUCUCGGAAUUCUGACUUUGAUCUUGGAAUUCUGACUUUGAUCUUGGAAUUUCAACCUUGAAUUUUAGAAUUCUGACUUUGAUCUUUGACCUUGAUCUCGGAAUUCUGACUUUGAUCCUGGAAUUCCUAGAACUCUGACAAGCAAAGUAUGAAUUCUGACUUUUUAAAUACCAGUUUCCGGUUUUUUUUGUUUUUUUAUUUUUUCUUUUGAGUAGCCCUCAUUCUUGAAUUAAAAAAAAGAAAGAAAAGAAAAAAAACUAAAAUUGUCUGAUAUGAAGUCGUCGGUGAUCUCAUUUUCUUUUCUGUACUCUAAAGACACCUGUGUGUUACUGUUGUUCAGGUUUUGCUGUUUGAUUAAAAAAACAGUAAAUUACUGUAGCAGGUUCUUUUCUCCUGCACUAACAGGGAAAACAUCUCUGUGUCUGCAGGUGUUAAGCGCUCAUUCUGCUCGACGUUCAGGUUUGAUGCUGACGGGUGGUGACAGAGAUAAGUCCUCGAGGCGGGGGGAUGGAGGGUGAAGAUGAGGAGGAAGCAGCUCUUAGGGAGACAAGUGUGAAGGGUCAAAACUACUAAGUGACAGGGUUAGACUCGUAAUCCUCCAGAGAACAGAAACCAGGACCUGAGCAGAAAAACAGGCUGCUAACAAAGCUACACUUUAAAUAUCCACAGAGUACACUGUAAAAAAUUAAAACUAAUGUGCUUUUAUUUUGAAAACAGCUGAUAUUGCUAAACCUACAACUACUGCUAUAGCAAGAGUUAUUUGUACCAUCUUUACUGUUAGUUAUGUACAAUUGAAGUAGUGAAAAAACACACAAGACAACUGCGAGUUUACAGGAGUAAAAUAUAAAAAUAUAAGAUCUAUUGAUAAUAAGAAAACAAACACGAUAAACAAAUGAAAAUCAAUUCAUUUAUACGGUUUGUUCCGUCUUAAAUCUUACGCUUAAUUAAAAUUACAUUAUAAUGACAUGUUAUGAUCAAACUGAAACAAAAUUUUCAUCAAAGUCAUUAUUUUGAGAAUAAAGUCGUUAAAAUUUUCACUGUGAGAUUAAAAGUGUAAAGUAAAAAUAAAUGUGUGGAGUAAAAAAGAGGUAAUCUCAGGACUGGACUGUGACUUUAUUCUCUUACAAUUUUACUCUCAUAACUUUUCCGACUUCUUCUCGGUUCUCAGUCAUGUACUUUACAUUUGUUUAAUUAUUCUUACUUUUUCCUUGUGAAACUAAAAUUUCAUUUCCGUAAAAAAAAAAGGAUUUAACUCCAAAGAUAUUCUCACCACUUUAUUCUAAUAGUUUUGACUUUAUUCCUGAAAUCUAAAGGUCUUUUUUUUUUCAAAAACAUGGUCCCAACAAUUCUUCACACACUAAAGAUCUAUUUCACUUCUUUAUUUUUUCAUACUUAGGUAUUUCUAAUAAAAAUACAAUUUUCUUAUGACUUUAUUUUCUUUCAACAUUAACAACUUUAUUCUUAUUUUCUCCGAGAUCCCAAAACUCAUGAAUACCAACUCAGACGUCCUGUUGUCACUAAUACUCAAACAAUACUCAUAAUUUUACAACUUUUUUCAAUCUUUUUUUCCAAAUACUUUUAAUUUCUUCUGACGAACACCACAGAUCUGUUUAAUUAAAACUCAUAACACAACACUAACAAUUCUUUAAGAUUAGCUCCAUGAAGGACAAACUUUUUACAGAUAAUUUAAAUUAGAUUAUGAAACAGAUGAUUCAUAAUUCCAGGACUUUUUAUAUGACAAUCUUUAAUAUUCUUCUUUAUUUUCACUUUAUUUUAUAUCAAAACUUAUCCUGUUAAAAGAAGCUCUGAAUAAAAUCACACUGAGCUGCUCUUUAUUAUCCUGAAAAUAGAUUUAUCACACAUAUUUAGUGGUAAAUGUAAAUAUAAAGAUAGCACAUUUUUUUUAAUUUCUGCUUUUGAUCUUUAAAAAACUCAAUUAAAACAUAUUUUCACUUUCCUGAUAUUUUGUCACUUUUUGUGCAAGUUGUCCCAUAAAAAUGAGGUUGGCUGAACCUGUUUGGGUAUUUGUGUAUUUAACUGCUACAUAUUCAUCUUUUUAGAGAAACACACUUUCAGAUUAACGUGUUUUUUUGUUUUGUUUAAGGACGUAAAUAAAUUCUGUUAACACGUAAAAUAAAACACUUAAAACUGUAACAGACGUACAGACUCUUUCAGAGCUGAAACACACAAUAAAUACACAAUAUGUGGUUUAUAUUUUAGUUGAACAAAGUCAGAAGGUAGAAAUCAAGUUUAUUGAAUUUUCUUCUCUUUUCAUCUGUUUUCAGCUUCUUCAUGACAAAAACAAAAUCAAUCUGUUUUCUGCAGGCGUCUGAUCGUCAGAGUGACCACUAGAUGGCGCCCCAUGAGAAGCAACUGGUUUCAUCUGUGUGUGUGUGUAUGUGUGUACGUCUCACUUCCAUGGCAUGUGUGUUUGUCUGAGUGUGUGUAUCUGUGUGUUAUUUCCCAUGCUAUGAGUCUUUGUGUGUUUCUGUCUUUGUCAUCUAUUUUGUCUUGUGUACUUCUCUGUGUGUUGUUUUUGUUGUGUGUGUGUGCGUGUGUGUGUGCGUGUGUGUGUGUGUUUGUGCCUCCGAAAGCGCCUCCCAACACCUACCGCGGUGCUUGUUGGGACACCGGGGGCCACAUGAACACGAACACACACAUUUAAGAAACAGCAGACAACAAAAACAAACAAGCCUCCCUAUAUGCCAAUUAAAAAACACACAGAAAAGAGAGAGAGAGCGGAGAGGGAGAGAGAGAGGCGGGUUUAAGACAAAAAAACUGAAUUAUUUUAGAGACUCGCACAGAGCCAUUAAAGAAAAACACAAUUAGAAGAAACGAGGCGACGGAAUCAGACGAAUUUAUCUGCAGAAGCUGAAAAACAGAAACAAGAAAAGUAGGGAGCAAAGAAGGAAAGUGGAGGACGAGUCUGAGCUCAGGUGUUAUAAACAGGGUUUUUUUUUGUCUGGAGAAACACACACACACACACACACACACAGAGUAACACACACACACAGUCACACAUGUGACGUGUGUGUAAAUGAGUUGUUGAAUCAAAGCAGCUGCAGAAAAACUGAAACUCGUCUUUUUUUUCCUCUAAAAACAUCAUCAGGUUAUUUUUUCAUUUUACUUUGAAACAAUCGAGGAAAAACUCUGUUUUUGUAGGUUAAUCAAUAAUAUCAAAUACAAAGAACAGUUUUGUCUGUAUUUGUGAAAUGCUAAUCUUUAAUUUAAUCUCAAUUCAACUUGAAAACGGAAAUAGAAAUCAUUGUACUUUGACUCUUUUACGUUUCUAAUUCUUGUUUUUUUCUCCUUCAUGAUUAGAUCUUGUUCAUUAUUUGCCAACAACACAGAGGCUGUCAAAUAUAAGCUGCACAUUUGAACAGAAAUAAAGCAGGUAGAAAAGACACUUUAUUCUGUAUGGGAAAUUAUUACAUUAUUCAGUUUUGAAUAAAAGAUUUUUUUCAGUAAAAAUGAAACACAGUUAUUUGAAGCAGUUUUAGCAGAAACAACAUUUUUCCUCUUCUUUUCAUAGAUAUUUCACAAAUGUUUCAAAAUACUGUAAAACAAUAAAAAAAACAUCUCAUUACUUUUAAUACAAAUUCCACAAAUGUCCAGAAGACCUUUAGUUGAAUCACAAAAGUCUCCCUUAGAUUUCACCAAUAUUCAAAAAUGCUGUUUAAUAAUCAGAAAAAUGUUUAAAGACAAAUUUGAACACGUCCGAUAACAGUAAAACAAAUUUAAUGAUUAUUCCAAAAUUCAGAAUUACAACAUCAGACCGAGAGGAAAAAGUCUCAUUACCUGAAUGUCCUUAAAAACACUCGAUUAUCAAACUGUCUCUUUGACUUUAAAAAUUACAAAAGAUAAAAAUAAAGAAGACAAACCUGUUUUAAUACUUUAAAUACAGAUUUUUAUAAAUGUUCAUAAUUUCUGUGUUUCAGUUUCAGACACUAAAAUAUCACAGAACUUUAAUUACAAAUAGUGCUGUCCUGUUACUCUCUAUAGCAAAUUCACAAAUGAUUGAUAAAUACAGUUUAAAUCAGUGUCGUCAUUAUUGAAUAUAGAUCUAUGAAUACAUACAGAUCUAACAACUGUUCAUAGACUUUAAUGUAAAAAUACAUUUUUGUUUUAUAAUGGUGCUCCUCUCAGUGAUUAUAAGUCAUAAUGAAACCAGCAGAAAUUUAUAUUCAUAUUUUCAUAAUAAUAAUAAUAAUAAUAAUAAUAAUAAUAAUAAUAAUAAAGGACAAAGUUGACAUAAAGGUGACUAAUGUCAAAGACGAUAAGAGAAAUGAAAAAUUAAUAAAGUGAAAAGUUGUUUUAAUUAGAUUCUCGUCUGAACACACAUUUAGUUUUUAAAUCAAAGUGAAUUAAUGUGAAUUUAAUUAAAAUAUGUUGAUCCACAGCUUCCUCUUUUAGUCAGUUAAAAAAACUGAAUUUUGUCUAAAUGUAUGAAAUAGAUAGAAACCAGGUUUAUUUUAUUGUCUGUUUUCAUGUCUUUAGAUUUCCUGAAAAUGAAGAAUCUCCUUUUUUCAAACAGUCAUUUAGUUAUUUUUAUUCUGUAAAUUACAAACCCUAAAUUUUUGUCGUUUUCCUGUCUCUUCUUUAAUUUUUUGUUGUCUGUUUUCUGCGGUGGAGUUCAGCUGUUUGUUCCUUUUGUUUGUUUCUGCAGCAGCAGACAGAAAAACCUCGGCUCUGUUCAUCCAGAGGGAAAGAAAAAGAAAAAGCUCGAUUCUUUGUGUGGAGUUUUCUCGUUAAGCGUCUGCCUGCUGAGGCUGUGGGACCGUAAAGAAACCUCCGAAUAACACCUCAUCAGUUAUUCUACGCCGUUUACAAUGAGGCUCUGCGGGGAAUUCAGGCUGCUGCACGCUCCACGCUCAAAAACACGGACACGUAUGGAUCAUGUUCAGAAAUGCAGAGAGGAGCAGCAAACAUCAGGACGGAGAGAGAUUCACAACAACGUUCAGAGAAUGAAAUCAUGAAAUCAUUCAUGAAGAAAAAACAGUCAAAGAAAAUUCCUUUCUUUUUUUUUGGUGGAGGUCUGAGAAGGUUUCGUACAAAUAAAAAAUAAACACAGACUGUUUUUAUUAUCUGCUGUCAUUCAGAGCCGAUUAUCACACACGUCAUUUAUUCUUAUUUUUUUAAGUUUAUUAUCAGAUCAGAUCAAAAAUCUAAAAUUUGGUUUAUUUGUUAAAGAAAAAAAGAAGUUUGCACAGAUGUAAUAUUUAUAAACAGCAUUUCUUUAUUUUUAUUCUUUUCUUAUUUAAUUUCCAUUUCUGUCCUGUUUGACUGAUUUCCUCUGAGACUCUAAAUUUCAAAGUAUUUUAAAUUAAAUAAAUAAACUUAUUAUUUAAAGAUCUUCAGCUCAUAUUUCCUGAACUCGUUUCUUUAUUUAACUUCUUUCUUAAAUUCAGUUUCACUCGUCAGUUUUUCUCUCAGACCUUUUUUUUAAUUUGUUUUCUCUGUUAUCUUAAUUUUUCUGGUUUCGUUUUCCCUCCUAAAAUAAAUCUCUGUCCUUCCUGCUGUGAAAAUAAAUUAAUCCGUUGUAAUCUGCGGUUUGUUCAAAGAUGACACUUGAAGGAGGCUGUAAUCUCUCUCUGUGUUUUUUACUGCUGAGUAUUUUUUAAACUCUAAAAUUAAAGAAUCCUAUUAAAUGAUAUUUAAACUUUCCCUUUAAUUUGAGUUUUGGUUGAAUCUCCCGUGUUUCCUCGCCGUUCGCUGACCUGCUGACAGUCUGGAUUUGACGGCUUUCUCGCCGCUGCUCUUACCUUUCCUCCCUCCUGCCUCUCUCCAUUGUUUCUACCUUUUAUUUCUAUUUUUACGUGUUGUGUUCUGGUGUUAUUCAGAGCGCUGAGGCGAGCUGUCAGCUCGACGCCGCCAGGCAGAAAAGUCUGUAAACCAGCAGCCACCAUAUGUCUCUCGCUCUCCGCCGUUUUCUCGCUUCAUUACUCUCUCUCUCUCUCUCUUCAUCCUCUGUCUGUUACUUAAUCUUCCUCUCUGUAUUGAUUUAUUUCUCUUUUCUAUCAUUUCAUCCCCUCCUUCUGUCUUUCUCUCUCACUCAGGCUCUUUAUUGAACAUUUACAUUAAAAACAACAAAAGUAUGUGAACAUAAAUCUGUGUAAUUUCAGGAUCUUUAACAAACACGCCGGUGUCUCCUUUUCUUCUGCUGAGCUCCAUUCAUUCUCUAAAACUACUAAAACCUGCUGCUUCAAACACACGGUUAAUCAGAGAAUACAGACUCAUCCGCCGCUGAAAAUAGUCCCUGACACCGACAUGCUGAAACAAAGAAAACACAAAAAAACGAUGAAAUAAACGGUAAAAAUGAUCUUUAAUCGUCCGGUUCGAACCCUCAGCAGUCAUUAAAGGAGCUGCACACGUCUGAACCCUCAUCAAAAUCCACUAACGCAGUUUUCAAUUAAUCAAAUUACACAGAUUAAUUGGCGAACAGUGAACCCGGGGCCUUUGGGGCCCCUCAGGGUCCUGAACAGAGGGCCCCUUAUUGUCUAAAACCCGGCCUUUAAUAUUCAGUCCAGCUGCAUUGUUCCGUGUUUUGUCUUCUCAGCCAUUAUAGGACAACAGAGGGACGUUUGUCCGGUGACGUGUCGGCGGUCAGGUUAGAAAACGUCGCAGGAAUCUGAGGAGAGUUUAUUUAAAAUAGUUUAAAAGAGGUGUGACGGAGCGGCGAGAAUUUAAUGUUUAACGCCGUGAUGAAACACGAGUCAACGCCGAAGAACGAGAACGAGAUUUACGUGACGAACGUGAACUUUCAUUAUUUAAGUCGGGAUGAGUUUAAACUGACGUGUUUUACUGCUUAGAGGACGAGACGGUUUAAUUGUCUUUUUUUCACUGAGUCUGUUUAAUUUGUGUUUUAAAAAGUUCGUUUUAAAAUCAUUAUUUGUGUCGAUCAUGUUUGCACUCUGACUCUGAAACUUUCAUCCAUCCAUGUUUGAUUUUUGACGUUUUUCGUCUCCGUCUCAUGUCAAGAUUUGUACCCACAUCCAUGCGGUUCAUGAACGCCUGAUUCAUGUCUGUUUACACCGCUCUCCCAACCUGACUAUGGAUCGCUUUUUAUUUAUUUAUUUAUUUAUUAUCUAUAUUUUUAAACUAUUGUCUCAUCAUUAUCUAAUCAUUCAUUCAUUCAUUCAUUCAUUAUGUUAUUUCUUGUGGGUUUCGGCGGCGGUUUCCAUUUUGAUAAUGCGAGACAAACCAAACUUUAGAUCGACCAACCAGACACGUGUGUGUGAGGCGGGUUAACCCUGACGAGUUCAGACCAAAACCACUUUCAUAAACCAGACUGCUAACAUGUUCAGGUUUACUCAAGAAAUCGGCUUUUUUGGCUUAUGUGUUGCCUCCAGUGGACACUCAAGGAAUUACAGUUUUCAGCACUUCAACACCGGCGUUAUUUCACAAGACCAGGGGUGACCUAAUCUGGUACGUCUUCUUUUUCAGCUCAGAAAAAUAAAACAUUCCGCUCUUUUCAGUUACCUUUGAAAGUUAAAAACGAUUCACAAGAAUCUGAAAAUUUAACGAUCUUUUAUAAAAGAAGUUCAGGAUGUGAUUCCAGGAGAUAAACCUCUAAAGUUUGAAGUAAACCCUUCAUGUUUUCAUGCCCCGCCUCCCCAGCCGAGAAAGUCUGGUCCCGCCCCUUCUCCAAAAUGAGGACGCUGAGUAAAUAUAGACGACCUUUGACCCCGAGUCGAUCUAGACCUCCACAGACCCAACUUCACUCAGAACCUUUCCAUGACACUCAUGAAAACCGAAUUAUCGCCUUAUUCCAAUUAAGACCGGACAACUGAAGGUCAUGUAAACAACAAAACCCCCAGAGUAGAGGAGUAGCGUUGGUCUCCUCUUUAGAAAAAGUAGCGCGUCCAUCAUGUCGGACAAAAACAACGCUGUACGAUGCUCCAUCUUCUUGUUUCUCCAAAAUGCCCAGCAGCAGUUGUAGACACUUCUGACGUCUGACACCGACCUGCUGUUGUUGUUGACGGUUGGAUGGAAAGACCCAUAUCGCCCCCUAGUGUUGGGGAGGAGUCUCAGCUUCACUGUAGAUAGAAAGUUACACAGAUGCUUCACUCUUGUAUAUUUCAAUGGUAUAAAACCACAAAGGAAUAAAGUUUCUUCUUAAUUUGAGGUCAAAACUCUUUGAGUCUCAGUUUCUCUGUAAAUCUGAAGUUUCUCAGAAGUUUGACUUUAUUAUAAAACUUCGAUCAGCUGCGAUCGGAGGAUACGACCUUUUCGUAGAUGUUCAGGAUGAAGGUGGAGAUUAGGGGUUAGUCUGUUCUGGAUCCUCUUAACUUCCAAUUAAUGAAUCAAAUCAAAGUUUGAUUUAUUGAACGGUUAAAUGGUUGAACGGUUACGAUCAGCUGUGAUCGGCUGAUACGGCCUUUUUGGAAAUCGGGGGUCAGCGUCACUCCUCCUGGUUCAGAGUCCGUUUGUUCGUCUUUUUUGACCCUGAAUCGAUCAGAUUUGCGUCUUCAGACGAGAUAAAAAUCUUUUGACUCCGACGUUCAUGACGGCGAGCGAGGCAGGAAAGGACCAAUCCCGUCAUUCUCAGUUUUCUGUUUCAUCACCUCUCAUCCUUGAUUCUGAUUCCUGUCUCACACUCUCCUCCUCUCUCAACAUCUUUGUCUUCCUCCUUUUUUUCUCCUCCUCCUCCUCCUCUUCCUCCUCUCUCUGUCUUUCACUUUUCUCCCCUUCUGGCAGACAGAGGGAUGAUGGGUUUGUUGCCGUAGUAACUCCUCCAUUCAGCCUCCCUCUGUUGGCAGCGGCAGCAUCACCCGAUGACGACAGACGAACACAACAGUUUUCCCGUGUCGCGGUGAUUUAGUUGUGUCUGUUAGGAAACAAAACCCGGCUAUACAACAUCAGACCCCCUCCCUCUCUGCCCUCCUUCAUCCCUCCAUCCCUCGUUUCCUCAUCCCUCCGUCUGUUCGCCGCGCUCGCUCACAUGUUGAUUACACACAGCGGCAGAAAAGACAACAGACGAGUAAAAACAAAUGAAACCAGCCUCACAAUUAUCGCCCUGCCGCCGCGUCGCCUCUCCUCGCCGAGCGGCUGUUUCUCCUCUCAGAUGUUUGUUGUUUGAUCCAGAUGAGAUGAAACGUUAUUGAUCGCCGCGGGGAGACGAAGACAAUAACCUGAGGCAGGAAUACAGGCGGCGAGACGGUAAAUGAGGACGAGGCGAGAUGUGGCACGUCGAGCGGUGGAGAAAAGAGAGGAGGACAGGGAUGUAGUUUCAGUUUCUGUGUUUUUCUGAUGAUUGCCACCCGACGAUCUACGACCACGAAAACAACAAUAUCAGUCAGACCCUCAGACGACUCCAGACGGACCUGACGCUGCUUAUCAACCUUCAGGAAGAGGGAACCAAAAACCAGGUCCAGGUCUGAGCCGCUUCCACCGAGUUUAGGCCGACGUGAGCGAGAGCAACAACCAGGAAGUGAACGCCAAGAGUAAACGGUUCAAUGUACGAAUUAAAAUCC